rnacentral:rRNA from 1 species
GGGCGUAUUAUAAUCGAAGGCCGUUGGCAAAGUUGGAAGCGAUCGAUAUGCACGCAGGUGAGAGAAACGAAAAGGAAGAAACCUCUUCGUCGUCCUCUUCGAAAA